rnacentral:rRNA from 1 species
AACUUCUGAAUGUUGACCUCGGAUCAGGUAGGAAUACCCGCUGAACUUAAGCAUAUCAAUAAGCGGAGGAAAAGAAACCAACAGGGAUUGCCCUAGUAACGGCGAGUGAAGCGGCAACAGCUCAAAUUUGAAAUCUGGCUCUCGGGCCCGAGUUGUAAUUUGUAGAGGAUGCUUUUGAUGCGGUGCCUUCCGAGUUCCCUGGAACGGGACGCCAUAGAGGGUGAGAGCCCCGUCUGGUUGGAUGCCAAAUCUCUGUAAAGCUCCUUCGACGAGUCGAGUAGUUUGGGAAUGCUGCUCUAAAUGGGAGGUAUAUGUCUUCUAAAGCUAAAUACCGGCCAGAGACCGAUAGCGCACAAGUAGAGUGAUCGAAAGAUGAAAAGCACUUUGAAAAGAGAGUUAAAAAGUACGUGAAAUUGUUGAAAGGGAAGCGUUUAUGACCAGACUUGGGCUUGGUUAAUCAUCUGGGGUUCUCCCCAGUGCACUUUUCCAGUCCAGGCCAGCAUCAGUUUUCGCCGGGGGAUAAAGGCUUCGGGAAUGUGGCUCUCUUCGGGGAGUGUUAUAGCCCGUUGCGUAAUACCCUGGCGGGGACUGAGGUUCGCGC